rnacentral:lncRNA from 1 species
AGAAAGAAAAUGAUGUUCUCUUCGAUGUGAUCAACAUUCCUUUUUUGUUUAAUUUUAAUAAUUUAGCUGCUGGACCAAUAUAGGAUUUGGUAAUCAAAAUGAAGUUACUAUUUGAAAAUACUUGUAACGUGUGUGUUUAGAAAUGAUUUGUUUAGUUCUUGUGAUCAAAUUGUUACUUGUGUCAAAGGAUGUUAAAGAUGGUUUAUGAGUCCAGCCCGGUCUUGUUUCAUUAAAGCUCGAUCCUAAAUAACUCCUAACACUUUUGAAACCCUGAAAACUAAUAUAAUAGGGUUGAGUCCUAUAGUGAUCCUUCAUAAACC